UAGAGUUUGAUCCUGGCUCAGAUUGAACGCUGGCGGCAUGCUUUACACAUGCAAGUCGAACGGCAGCGCGGGCUUCGGCCUGGCGGCGAGUGGCGAACGGGUGAGUAAUAUAUCGGAACGUACCCAAGAGUGGGGGAUAACGUAGCGAAAGUUACGCUAAUACCGCAUACGAUCUAAGGAUGAAAGCAGGGGACCGCAAGGCCUUGUGCUCCUGGAGCGGCCGAUAUCUGAUUAGCUAGUUGGUGAGGUAAAGGCUCACCAAGGCAACGAUCAGUAGCUGGUCUGAGAGGACGACCAGCCACACUGGAACUGAGACACGGUCCAGACUCCUACGGGAGGCAGCAGUGGGGAAUUUUGGACAAUGGGGGCAACCCUGAUCCAGCAAUGCCGCGUGAGUGAAGAAGGCCUUCGGGUUGUAAAGCUCUUUUGUCAGGGAAGAAAAGGGAGUGGCUAAUAUCCAUUCCUGCUGACGGUACCUGAAGAAUAAGCACCGGCUAACUACGUGCCAGCAGCCGCGGUAAUACGUAGGGUGCGAGCGUUAAUCGGAAUUACUGGGCGUAAAGCGUGCGCAGGCGGUUUUGUAAGACAGGCGUGAAAUCCCCGAGCUCAACUUGGGAAUGGCGCUUGUGACUGCAAGGCUAGAGUAUGUCAGAGGGGGGUAGAAUUCCACGUGUAGCAGUGAAAUGCGUAGAGAUGUGGAGGAAUACCGAUGGCGAAAGCAGCCCCCUGGGACGU
rnacentral:rRNA from 1 species